AUACGGAGGGGGCUAGCGUUGUUCGGAAUUACUGGGCGUAAAGCGCGCGUAGGCGGGCUGGUUAGUUGGGGGUGAAAUCCCGAGGCUCAACCUCGGAACUGCCCUCAAUACUGCCAGUCUUGAGUUCGAGAGAGGUGAGUGGAGUUCCUAGUGUAGAGGUGAAAUUCGUAGAUAUUAGGAAGAACACCAGUGGCGAAGGCGGCUCACUGGCUCGAUACUGACGCUGAGGCGCGAAAGCGUGGGGAGCAAACAGGAUUAGAAACCCCAGUAGUCC
rnacentral:rRNA from 1 species